rnacentral:rRNA from 1 species
UCCUAACCGUGCAAAGGUAGCGUAAUCACUUGUCCUCUAAAUAAGGACCAGUAUGAACGGCUAAAUGAGGGCCAACCUGUCUCCUUUAACCUAUCAGUGAAACUGAUCUACCAGUACAAAAGCUGGUAUAACCCUAUAAGACGAGAAGACCCUGUGGAGCUUAAAAUUAUAGCCACCCCAGAACCAUAUUCAACAUCUGGAACCCUGAGCUAAUAAUUUUCAGUUGGGGCGACUUCGGAGCCAAAAAAAUCCUCCAAGUAAAAUAGACCUAAAGCUUUAACACAGACCUACAAGUCACCUCUGACCCAGUCAAACUGAUCAACGAACCAAGUUACCCCAGGGAUAACAGCGCAAUCUUCUUCAAGAGUCCCUAUCGACAAGAAGGUUUACGACCUCGAUGUUGGAUCAGGACCCCCUAAUGGUGCAGCCGCUAUUAAAGGUUCGUUUGUUCAACGAUUAACAGUCCUACGUGAUCUGAG